rnacentral:rRNA from 1 species
GACGAACGCUGGCGGCGUGCUUAACACAUGCAAGUCGAACGGAAAGGCCCUGCUUUUGUGGGGUGCUCGAGUGGCGAACGGGUGAGUAACACGUGAGUAACCUGCCCUUGACUUUGGGAUAACUUCAGGAAACUGGGGCUAAUACCGGAUAGGAGCUCCUGCUGCAUGGUGGGGGUUGGAAAGUUUCGGCGGUUGGGGAUGGACUCGCGGCUUAUCAGCUUGUUGGUGGGGUAGUGGCUUACCAAGGCUUUGACGGGUAGCCGGCCUGAGAGGGUGACCGGCCACAAGGGGACUGAGAUACGGCCCAGACUCCUACGGGAGGCAGCAGUGGGGAAUAUUGCACAGUGGGCGGAAGCCUGAUGCAGCAACGCCGCGUGCGGGAUGACGGCCUUCGGGUUGUAAACCGCUUUCGCCUGUGACGAAGCGUGAGUGACGGUAAUGGGUAAAGAAGCACCGGCUAACUACGUG